rnacentral:rRNA from 1 species
GACGAACGCUGGCGGCGGGCUUAACACAUGCAAGUCGAACGGAAAGGCCCUGCUUUUGUGGGGUGCUCGAGUGGCGAACGGGUGAGUAACACGUGAGUAACCUGCCCUUGACUUUGGGAUAACUUCAGGAAACUGGGGCUAAUACCAGAUAGGAGCUCCUGCUGCGUGGUGGGGGUUGGAAAGUUUCGGCGGGUGGGGAUGGACUCGCGGCUUAUGAGCUUGUUGGUUGGGGAGUGGCUUACCAAGGCUGGGACGGGUAGCCGGCCUGAGAGGGUGGCCGGCGUCAUUGGGACUGCGAUACGGCCCAGACUCGUACGGGAGGCAGCAGUGGGGAAUAUUGCACAAUGGGCGCAAGCCUGAUGCAGCAACGCCGCGUGCGGGAUGACGGCCUUCGGGUUGUAAACCGCUUUCGCCUGUGACGAAGCGUGAGUGACGGUAAUGGGUAAAGAAGCACCGGCUAACUACGUG